rnacentral:misc_RNA from 1 species
GCUGUGUUCGAUCCACAGC